rnacentral:lncRNA from 1 species
CCAUAGAGCAGAUUAGAUACUGGCUAUGUAAAAUAUGAUUUGCAGCUUUAAUUACUGUUGCGCUACAACGUGAUUAGGAAGAACAACUGGAGGAGUCCAGGUGAUGUGGAUCCGCUUCUGAUGAC